GUGAGUUAGUCAUUGGUCUUAAAGCUGCAGCACGCAACAACAUCCAUUUUGCAUCUUGCUGCUGUUUCCUUCUUCCUCCGUUACCCAAAAUGCCCUUUUUCAGUAUAACUAAAGAAAUGGCCAUUGGAACUGCAGUCCUAGGGGUUGCUUUUGCUACUGGAGUCUUAGCAGGUAAAAAAUAUCCAUUUUUAGCUUUUGGAAUUCCCCGAUCAUCCAAGACUCUUCUUGGAAAAGGGAGCCCGUUAUGGCAAUACAUAUUGGAUCACUCUCUGCGGGAGCAUCCAGUCCUAAAGAAGCUGCGACUGCUCACCUUGGACCAUCCCUGGAGUAGAAUGAUGGUGUCUUGUGACCAGGCCCAGCUUAUGGCAAACUUGGCCAAACUCAUCAAAGCCAAGAAAGCUAUUGAAAUAGGUGUUUUUACAGGCUAUAAUACCUUAAACAUGGCACUAGUCUUGCCAGAUGAUGGCAAAGUCGUUGCCUGCGAUAUAAAUGAAGAUUACAUCAGUAUUGGAAAGCCGCUGUGGAAAGAGGCAGGAGUGGAGCAUAAAAUAGACUUGCGGUAUAAACCAGCAAUUCAAACACUUGAUGAACUACUGGCAGAUGGUGAAGCUGGGACCUAUGACUUUGCUUUCAUAGAUUCAGAUAAACAGAGUUACAAUGAGUACUAUGAAAAAUGUUUACGUCUUGUAAGGAAAGGGGGAAUCAUAGCCAUUGCUAAUGUUUUAUGGCACGGGAAAGUGUUGAAGCCAAGCAAGAACGAUCUGGAAACCCAAAGCCUCCACCACCUCAAUGAGAAGAUCUUCCGAGAUGUACGGGUCAAUAUCAGCAUGCUCCCCAUGGGGGAUGGAGUGACACUAGCGUUCAAGCUGUAGUGGGAGAAAAAUGCUGAGCAAUGGAAGGGAGACAGAGAAGCACCAAAUCUUCAGGCAAAACUAAGGUGGAGCAUGAGGAGCAGCUGUGCUGUGAACUUGUGUCUCAGCAGAAGAGCAGAAAGCUGGGAAAACAGCCCUUGAAAUGAACAGAAAAACUACAGUAACCGCCAGAGGGCCCAAGCAGGGUCAGAGCCUCGCUGUGCUAGGUGCUGUACAAAUGGAACCGGAAUGGCAAAGUCUUACAGAUUUUACCUAACGAGCUAAUGAAUUAAGGUGAAGUAAUCUGUCUCAGGACACUAUGGCUCCCUCUGCUGUGCCCAGACACAGGACACUAGAAACUCACCAUUAUCUGCAGCUUGGAAAAGACAAAGAACUAAACCAACAGCUCCAAACCUUAGAGGAAAGGAGUACUUGUGGCACCUUAGAGACUAACCAAUUUAUUUGAGCAUAAGCUUUCGUGAGCUACAGCUCACUUCAUCGGAUGCAUUCAGUGGAAAAUGCAGUGGGGAGAUUUUAUAUACACAGAGAACAUGAAACAAUGGGUGUUACCAUACACACUGUAACGAGAGUGAUCACUUAAGGUGGGCUAUUACCAGCAGGAGAGUGGGGGGGGGGGC